GAUGAACGCUGGCGGCGUGCUUAACACAUGCAAGUCGAACGAUGAAGCCCACUUGUGGGUGGAUUAGUGGCGAACGGGUGAGUAACACGUGAGUGACCUGCCCUUGACUCUGGGAUAAGCCUGGGAAACUGGGUCUAAUACCGGAUAUGACCUUCCAUCGCAUGGUGGUUGGUGGAAAGCUUUUGUGGUUUUGGAUGGACUCGCGGCCUAUCAGCUUGUUGGUGGGGUAAUGGCCUACCAAGGCGACGACGGGUAGCCGGCCUGAGAGGGUGACCGGCCACACUGGGACUGAGACACGGCCCAGACUCCUACGGGAGGCAGCAGUGGGGAAUAUUGCACAAUGGGCGCAAGCCUGAUGCAGCGACGCCGCGUGAGGGAUGACGGCCUUCGGGUUGUAAACCUCUUUCAGUAGGGAAGAAGCGUAAGUGACGGUACCUGCAGAAGGAGCGCCGGCUAACUACGUGCCAGCAGCCGCGGUAAGAC
rnacentral:rRNA from 1 species